GACGAACGCUGGCGGCGUGCCUAAUACAUGCAAGUCGAACGCAGUGGGGACGGGUGCGUAACAAGUGGGUAACCUCCCAUCAGAGGGGAUAACACUUGGCAACAGGUGCUAAACCGCAAUUGAUGGAUGGAGACGCGGUGGAUUAGCUAGUUGGUGAGGUAACGGCUAACCAAGGCCACGAUGCAUAGCCGACCUGAGAGGGUGAUCGGCCACACUGGGACUGAGACACGGCCCAGACUCCUACGGGAGGCAGCAGUAGGGAAUCUUCCGCAAUGGACGAAAGCCUGACCGAGCAACGCCGCGUGAGUGAAGAAGGUUUUCGGAUCGUAAAACUCUGUUGUUAGAGAAGCGGUAUCUAACCAGAAAGCAACGGCUAACUACGUGCCAGCAGCCGCGGUAAUAC
rnacentral:rRNA from 1 species